rnacentral:rRNA from 1 species
CCUACGGGUGGCUGCAGUGAGGAAUAUUGGUCAAUGGGCGCGAGCCUGAACCAGCCAAGUAGCGUGAAGGAUGACUGCCCUACGGGUUGUAAACUUCUUUUAUAAAGGAAUAAAGUGAGGCACGUGUGCCUUUUUGUAUGUACUUUAUGAAUAAGGAUCGGCUAACUCCGUGCCAGCAGCCGCGGUAAUACGGAGGAUCCGAGCGUUAUCCGGAUUUAUUGGGUUUAAAGGGAGCGUAGAUGGGUGGUUAAGUCAGUUGUGAAAGUUUGCGGCUCAACCGUAAAAGUGCAAUUGAUACUGGCACGCUGGAGUAUAGUUGAGGUAGGCGGAAUUAGUGGUGUAGCGGUGAAAUGCUGAGAUAUCACGAAGAACUCCGAUUGCGAAGGCAGCCUACUAAACUGCCACUGACAUUGAUGCUCGAAAGUGUGGGUAUCAAACAGGAUUAGAUACCCGUGUAGUC